rnacentral:rRNA from 1 species
UACAGAGGGGGCAAGCGUUAUUCGGAAUUAUUGGGCGUAAAGGGCGCGUAGGCGGCUUGGCAAGUGGAAGGUGAAAUCCCUCGGCUUAACCGAGGAACUGCCCUCCAAACUGCUUCGCUUGAGACCGGGAGAGGUGAGUGGAAUUCCCAGUGUAGCGGUGAAAUGCGUAGAUAUCUGGAGGAACACCGGUGGCGAAGGCGGCAUCCUGGACCGGCAUUGACGCUGAGGCGCGAAAGCUAGGGGAGCAAACGGG